rnacentral:rRNA from 1 species
ACAGGCUUAACACAUGCAAGUCGAGGGGCAGCAUAUUUAUAGCAAUAUAGAUGAUGGCGACCGGCGCACGGGUGAGUAACACGUAUCCAACCUCCCUUUUACUCGGAGAUAGCCUUUCGAAAGAAAGAUUAAUACCCGAUAGUAUAUGGUUUUCUCAUGAAGACCCUAUUAAAGAAUUUCGGUAAAAGAUGGGGAUGCGUUCCAUUAGGCAGUUGGCGGGGUAACGGCCCACCAAACCUACGAUGGAUAGGGGUUCUGAGAGGAAGGUCCCCCACAUUGGAACUGAGACACGGUCCAAACUCCUACGGGAGGCAGCAGUGAGGAAUAUUGGUCAAUGGGCGAGAGCCUGAACCAGCCA